rnacentral:rRNA from 1 species
GGUGAUCUACCCAUGUCCAGGAUGAAGGUAAGGUAAUACUUACUGGAGGUCCGAACCCACGCACGUUGAAAAGUGCGGGGAUGAGGUGUGGGUAGCGGAGAAAUUCCAAUCGAACUUGGAGAUAGCUGGUUCUCUCCGAAAUAGCUUUAGGGCUAGCCUCGAGGUAAAGAGUCAUGGAGGUAGAGCACUGUUUGGACUAGGGGCCCUUCUCGGGUUACCGAAUUCAGAUAAACUCCGAAUGCCAUGUACUUAUACUCGGGAGUCAGACUGCGAGUGAUAAGAUCCGUAGUCGAAAGGGAAACAGCCCAGACCACCAGUUAAGGUCCCCAAAUAUAUGUUAAGUGGAAAAGGAUGUGGGGUUGCUUAGACAACCAGGAUGUUGGCUUAGAAGCAGCCACCAUUGAAAGAGUGCGUAAUAGCUCACUGGUCGAGUGACCCCGCGCCGAAAAUGUACCGGGGCUAAACAUAUUACCGAAACUGUGGAUGAACCUCUUUAGAGGUUCGUGGUAGGAGAGCGUUCUAAGGGCGGUGAAGUCAGACCGGAAGGACUGGUGGAGCGCUUAGAAGUGAGAAUGCCGGUAUGAGUAGCGAAAGAAGGGUGAGAAUCCCUUCCACCGAAUAUCUAAGGUUUCCUGAGGAAGGCUCGUCCGCUCAGGGUUAGUCGGGACCUAAGCCGAGGCCGAUAGGCGUAGGCGAUGGACAACAGGUAGAGAUUCCUGUACCAGUGCUAAUUGUUUAACCGAUGGGGUGACACAGAAGGAUAGGGAAUCGCACGAAUGGAAAUGUGCGUCCAAGCAGUGAGUGUGAGAAGUAGGCAAAUCCGCUUCUCGCGAAGCAUGAGCUGUGAUGGGGAAGGAAAUUAAGUACGGAAGUUCCUGAUUUCACGCUGUCAAGAAAAGCCUCUAGGAAGAGUAGUACUGCCCGUACCGCAAACCGACACAGGUAGAUGAGGAGAGAAUCCUAAGGUGAGCGAGAGAACUCUCGUUAAGGAACUCGGCAAAAUGACCCCGUAACUUCGGGAGAAGGGGUGCUCUAUUAGGGUGCAAGCCCGAGAGAGCCGCAGUGAAUAGGCCCAGGCGACUGUUUAGCAAAAACACAGGUCUCUGCAAAACCGUAAGGUGACGUAUAGGGGCUGACGCCUGCCCGGU